GACAGAGGGUGCAAACGUUGUUCGGAUUUACUGGGCGUAAAGCGCGUGUAGGCGGUUAUCCAAGUCGGGUGUGAAAGCCUUGAGCUCAACUCAAGAAAUGCAUUCGGUACUGGGUGACUAGAGGACCGGAGAGGAUAGUGGAAUUCCCAGUGUAGUGGUGAAAUACGUAGAGAUUGGGAAGAACACCAGUGGCGAAGGCGGCUAUCUGGACGGUUUCUGACGCUAAGACGCGAAAGCGUGGGGAGCAAACAGG
rnacentral:rRNA from 1 species